rnacentral:rRNA from 1 species
GACGAACGCUGGCGGCGUGCCUAAUACAUGCAAGUUGAGCGAUGAAGAUUGGUGCUUGCCCCAAUUUGAAGAGCAGCGAACGGGUGAGUAACGCGUGGGGAAUCUGCCUUUGAGCGGGGGACAACAUUUGGAAACGAAUGCUAAUACCGCAUAACAACUUUAAACAUAAGUUUUAAGUUUGAAAGAUGCAAUUGCAUCACUCAAAGAUGAUCCCGCGUUGUAUUAGCUAGUUGGUGAGGUAAAGGCUCACCAAGGCGAUGAUACAUAGCCGACCUGAGAGGGGGAUCGGCCACAUUGGGACUGAGACACGGCCCAAACUCCUCCGGGAGGCAGCAGUAGGGAAUCUUCGGCAAUGGACGAAAGUCUGACCGAGCAACGCCGCGUGAGUGAAGAAGGUUUUCGGAUCGUAAAACUCUGUUGGUAGAGAAGAACGUUGGUGAGAGUGGAAAGCUCAUCAAGUGACGGUAACUACCCAGAAAGGGACGGCUAACUACGUG